UACGAAGGGGGCUAGCGUUGCUCGGAAUCACUGGGCGUAAAGGGUGCGUAGGCGGGUCUUUAAGUCAGGGGUGAAAUCCUGGAGCUCAACUCCAGUACUGCCUUUGAUACUGGGAAUCUUGAGUAUGGAAGAGGUGAGUGGAACUGCGAGUGUAGAGGUGAAAUUCGUAGAUAUUCGCAAGAACACCAGUGGUGAAGGCGGCUCACUGGUCCAUAACUGACGCUGAGGCACGAAAGCGUGGGGAGCAAACAGG
rnacentral:rRNA from 1 species